rnacentral:rRNA from 1 species
AUUGAACGCUGGCGGCAGGCCUAACACAUGCAAGUCGAGCGGAGCGGCGGACGGGUGAGUAAUGCCUAGGAAUCUGCCUGGUAGUGGGGGAUAACGUCCGGAAACGGGCGCUAAUACCGCAUACUAUCAGAUGAGCCUAGGUCGGAUUAGCUAGAUGGUGGGGUAAAGGCCUACCAAGGCGACGAUCCGUAACUGGGCUGAGAGGAUGAUCAGUCACACUGGAACUGAGACACGGUCCAGACUCCUACGGGAGGCAGCAGUGGGGAAUAUUGGACAAUGGGCGAAAGCCUGAUGCAGCCAUGCCGCGUGUGUGAAGAAGGCCUUCGGGUUGUAAAGCACUUUCAGCGGGGAGGCGUUACCCGCAGAAGAAGCACCGGCUAACUCCGUGCCAGCAGCCGCGGUAAUAC